rnacentral:rRNA from 1 species
AUGUGAUCGUCUCUCGCAUAUCAAUAAGCGGAGGAAAAGAAACUAACAAGGAUUCCCCUAGUAACGGCGAGUGAAGCGGGAAGAGCUCAAAUUUGAAAUCUUAAAGGGUUUCCCUUUACGAAUUGUAGUUUAAAGAAGUGUUUUCUGUUGAGGUUUUGGUAAAAGUUCUUUGGAAUAGGACAUCAUAGAGGGUGAGAAUCCCGUAUUUGACCUUUACUUUCAACUUUGUGAUACACUUUCAAAGAGUCGGAUUGUUUGGGAAUGCAGUCCAAAAUGGGUGGUAAAUUUCAUCUAAAGCUAAAUAUUGGCGAGAGACCGAUAGCGAACAAGUACCGUGAGGGAAAGAUGAAAAGAACUUUGAAAAGAGAGUUAAACAGUACGUGAAAUUGUCAAAAGGGAAGCGUUUGACACCAGUGUUGUUUUUCUGAAAAUCAAUUAAAGAACUGUUUAUGCUAAGCUGUUUAGACUUUAUCAGCUAAUCUGUUUAGUUUUGAGCUUUUCUUUAAUGCACUUUUCAGUUAACAAGUCAACAUCAAUUUCUUUUGCUGUAAAAAAGCUUGAGGAAGGUGGCUUGAGAUUCGUCUUAAGUGUUUAUAGCCUCUUGCCUAUGCAGUCGGAGAGAUUGAGGUCUGCAGCGUAGAUCCUUCGGGGCUGAAUGCAUUUGUGCUAAGUUAUAGCAUUUCAUAGACAACUUGUUGACUAUGAUUUGUCUUGUAGCUUACUCGCUUAUGUUAUUUUACCUACGCUUAGGAUGUUGAUCUACAGAGCGAGAGU